ensembl:lncRNA
UUAAAAAAAAUAUAUAUAUUUUAACGCUAAUAUUUUUCAAAACUGCUGUUAUCUACAUCAUUUAAACACUAUUGUAUAGGAAUCCAAAAAGAUAAUUUUGACCACAAUGAGCUAGUGUUGAAUCCGUCAUGACGUUAUGGAAACCUGUUCAUAGUAUUGAACGACAAUUGUGUUAAAACUAUGUUGAUCCGUAUUAUGAUCAUGUUUUGUAAAGAAAGUUUACAUUAUGCUUAAAACUUGUUAGAUUAUGUAUAAUUCAAUCAAGAGAGGAUUCAAUUAAUUAAUUUCAACAAAUUAUUACAAACCAUCAUUUCAAUUAUCCUAUCCUGAGAAUAAUCAAUCGAUCAAUGAAGGGGGAUUGAUGCUGAGGUCAGAUAAGGCUCAAUGUGAUUUUGACAGGAUUUUUCUUUCCGGUGUAGUAUGAUAGUUAUUAUUUUCUUUUCUUUGACAAACCUUAUACUUUUGUAGAAGGGGAUGUGAUGAUUGGUUGAUGAUGGUGAAUGGUUCGUCAAAAUAAAAAAUCUUAGGUCCGCUGAUAUGCUGAUUUGCCACCACGGCCGCUCGGGCACGUUAAAAUAUAAAAAAUUUUUUUUUACAACCAUUAAAAAAAUAAGACAGACCAUCUUUCUAACACAAACAGAUUGAGGCUGCCACCAUCGUGCUUCGUUGAGGUAAUGCAAAUAUAAAAAAGCUCAGUGCAAUGUAGCUUGGUUUAGUGCCAUUUAUUGGGAGAGUUUAUUUAUAAAGCACAUUUUGGCACAAAAGGAAACCAGAGCGCUUUUAUGUAAUUCAUCAAAAUCAUCGACUUCAACGGAACAUAAUAAAAAAGGACAUUCACAUACUAUUAAAACAGCUCCAUGCACGUCCUUAAGUGGCGUCUCGAGCAGAUGGGCUUCAUCCUGCAGCUUCCCGUCGCCCGGGAGGAGCUUUCCGUCCGGCCACUCUGCACGAGUGACCUCCAGGUUCUCUGUCACCUGUCCGACCCUGCCCCCCCCCCUCGCUCCGGUCUUCGGGCCUAGUUGUUCCCAAAUAUUCCCAUCUAUGAAUUAUCGGGGCUGCUGUGCUCAUGGGAACCGCCAAUGCAGCACAAUUCCCCAGAUCUCUGUCAGCAAACAACACCGUCUGUGGGCUCUGCAGGAAGUCCCUCCUCCCUCACGGAUCGGUUCCAAUCUGAUGUGCACAGCCUGUGUGUGUACGUGUGUGUGUGUGUGUGUGUGUGUGUGUGUGUGUGUGCGCUUGCGUUUCCAAAUCAUGUCCGAUCGAUUGAAUGACCUCAGGUGUGCAAUAGAAACAACUGAAAGGUGAUGAAGAGAAAUAGACAAAUCAAAGAUGUUAUUCAUUUCUCUAUUUAUAUAAAUUUACAGCACAUUCUAAAAUCUAUUUUUUCACUGUGUCAUCAUGGGUUAUUUAUUGUAGCCGUAUGAAGAGAAAAAUAGAAAAACAAACACAGGCUUAAAUAAUUAAAAGAUUCACCUGCACCUUUUUAAUUUGGAGGAUCAGAGCGUUUGUAUUUUCGGCGUCGCAGCUUUGUUGUUUGGUAUAAUGCACUGGUUUCAGACCGUGGAUAUAAAUCAUUAAAACAUUCUUAUCUCUUUCUCUCCCACACGUUUUUCAUCUCGCUGCCACAAAGACUGAGAUCCUUUAACAUCCGGCUUUUCAAACGAGCCUCCCCUGCCUUCCCUUUCUCAUAUCCGCUGGAGGAUACAUCGUUUGUCAAUUUAUUUAACUGCACACAUUUGGUAUUUUUGGUAGUUUUAUUUCAAGAUUCACUUCAGUACUAAAACAGUGUGGAAAAUAGACUAUAGCAAGUAGUUCAACCGUAACACUGAUUACAAUUUGUGAUUUAAAUGUGAUUAAAACGUAAGUGAUGAACUUUCUGAUUUACACACUUUAUCAAGACAAUAACAACUUUCAAAUUACAUAAAAUUACAGUUUUUUUUCAUGAAAAGAACUACAAGUAAGCACAUUGUUAUUGGAACCUCAGGAUACGGAAUAUUGAGAACUAUUGACUACAGAUAGUAGAACUGAGCCAGUUCUCCAGAUUACUUUUUCAUUCCUGUCUGCAUGCUUCUCACUUGACAUUUCCUGUUAUUGGAGGUGAGCUAUUGAUUUUUGUCCAGGCGCAGUCUUUUAAUAUCUUUAAUAAAUAUCUAAGUCAUAUUAAGUUCUGCAAAUUGCUUUCCUAAGGUGUGAGUCAUAAUAACAGUUCAUAAAUAGACUGUAAAAGUAUAAUUGGUCUGGACUGUGGCUUUAGAGAGAUAAUACCGCAAUACUUUCACAGACUAAGACUUUUUCAUGUUCUAGGAGACGCCACUAGGAAACGCUAUGGGCUGUCAAAUCACUCUCACCGCCGUCCGUCAGGAGCGAAGUAGGGUGGGUGACGUUAUUAUAGAGUCUUAACAACGUGAGGGGACACGAUCCACAAAAUGCUGGACGUUUACGUCCUGUUUCCCAGGCCAUACAAAGCCUGUUUAAAUCCCCAAGCUCAAGUCCUUAUUUUACCCUAAACUGGGACCUUUCUUUGACCCAAACUAAGAAGUUUCUUUUCGCUAUCAGAUAACAACUAACUGCUUACCUGUGUUGUUUUGGAGGGCAAAUACAUCAACAUUGUUUUUCCAUUCAUUUUGAUCGACAUUCUUUUUUAUGCAGAUGCGAAGUAAUUGUAACGUUUUGAGUGAGAGGAUUUCUUCUUUCGUUGUUCUACAGUUUGUCACUUUAAAUGCAAUGCAACUCCACUCUGUGGAUCCAGAAGCCGUUGCCAUUCAUCAAGGACAGAGUAGGUUGACGAGAGGAGAGGAGCUUGGUGGCACCGUCGGGCUGAUGGCUAUCAGCCCUUCUUCGACCUCGGGCAAGGUGGGGGGAUGAGCGAUGGGCCUGACCUCUGUGAGGAGAACGCUCUACCUGUCGUAUUAGAGAGACCAGGCAAUGGAGCACUGCGGAUAGUUAACCAGCUUUGCCCCUCAACUCCUGCCCACCCUCCAAAGAGCAUUUUGUUCUGCAAAGGCACUUUUACACAAAUUAUAUAGAGGAGGAAGUGAGCCAGGAAAGGUCAAAAUUAACAAUUUUGACCUUUUUUCACGUGUGGCCGCCCCCCUUUUGUUUCAUCAAAAAACGAGAAUUAAAUAUCAGUCCGAUAUACAGGCUUCCCCCACUAACCAGAGUUAGUGCAGUUGAGUUAGUCAGAUAAUUAGAAUUAAUUGCCAUUUCCUUUCCCCUCAUUGAUUUAGCCUGACAUGUACAUUUUUUCCGUACUAACGAGGGAAAUAUUUUCAGUAGAGCUUGUGGUGUUUAUUUGAAGCACUUGACCUUUUUUUUUUUUUUUACAUUUUUGGGGAUCUUGGUAACGUGUCUACGGGUUGAGAAUGCCUCAACGGUGGUGGUAUGUAACAACGCUUUGCUUUGUUCUUUGUUUGUCACAUGUUACCAAUCAGGUGAGCAGGGGAGCGAGAACUCACGCCGGGCUUUAAUUCGCAGCAGCCCAGCGGGGAAGAGAGAGAGAGACAGCUGGAUGCCGAAGUAACUAAACGAAUGCAGAUCAGGCGCCGCUUCCAGUCCCAUCGGUCAGGGCCAAAGGAAAGAAGCCACGGAGGUCAUGACUGAAGAAAUGUAGCCUGUGUGAAAUCGGACUGAAACCUGAGAUCAAGACAGGAAAAUCUGCAAUAACACACAUUUUUCCCAGUUCAAGGAGAGUGAAUAGUUAACAGGGCCAUUCAAUUUGAACUACAAUAAUACAUUUAGAGGCAGUAAGACUCCUGAAGCCUCUCCUGUGCUGAAUAUUACUGUUGAGGCUCUCAACCGGAUGGGAGCGGAGUGUCACAUUGUGUCAUUUCACUUGAUGGUGUUGUGUUUGCCUCCCACAGGGGCCGCCGCAUGUAAGAAAAAUAAUUCACACAGCACGUUGUCCGGGCGAAGCAAUGAGACGUACGAUUUAAUAUAAUAUAUGAGAAUACAAUUGGAGCAUGUGGUCCAUAGAAAAGCAGAUUUUUUAAUCACAUCAUCCACUGACAGGGAGAUUGUGCUUCCGGCUGAGGAGUGAGCUUAACUGGACGUCAGGGAUCGUUUCUUGAGAUUUGUGCCGGCACGUAUUGUGGUCCUUUGUGGUCUGUAUUAGAGAGCAGGGGGGAGAAGAGAUGACUGGAUUUAGGGUUCUAUUUGGGAUCAGAUUAGCAGCAUAAAACCACUGUGACUGACAAUAUAAUAAACCCCAAAGAUUUUGAAUAGAGUAAUCACUCUAUCCUUCAAUUUUUUAUUCGUAGUUGGUGCAAAUGGUUUUCUGUAAUGCUUCUAUAGUAUUAGUUUAAAAUAAAUUGAAUGAAUUUAUGUGUUUUCUCCUCAUAAACUCCCAUCAAUCUUUUUUUUCCUCACUAGGUCUUAACUCUGCUCCCUCCGCUUAGUUCUCCCCGGUUCUGUGAUGGGUGCUGUGAUGGAAAGAUGAUUGACAGGCUGAGCUGGUUUCCACACACAAAUCCACACCACUCAAUCAAUUUUGUUUCAUUUCCCAUCACAUCAUUUCAGGCUAAAUAGGAAGGUAAAAAACGCCGAGCCGAGUGAGAAAUUAGCCAAUUAGAGACGAGGGUUUUCUUGUGCAGCUGUUAACCACUGCUUGUGACAGCACUGCUCAAAUAUCAAUAAUCUGUAACGUUAUCUUGUUUCAAAUGUUUGUAGAAAGGUAUUGGACAAAGCAAAUUCAGCUGAAUUGAUUUAGUUUUACCAUCAGAGCACUUAAUAAUUUGUGUCUUUAUUCACAUGCAGAUUUCAAACUUACUAACAUAUUGGGGAAAAGACAGGAUUAGUUGGGUCUCAUCAGCAUAGCAAUGAGAAGCCAUGCGAGUGGAUGACAGAGAAAGAGAGAGACAGUUUGUGUAGAAAGAGAAGAGCAGGGGACCCAGGACAGAGCCUUGGGGGACCCCAGUCCUGAGAGAACAAGGUGCAGACACCGAUCCUCUCCAAGUUACCCGGUAAGUACGGCCGCUGAGGCGGGAUGAGAGAAGGGAGCGAGCAGAGCCUGAGACACCCAGUUAUUGAGGGGAGUAAAUUAGGAUCUGGCGGUUCACUGUAUCAAUUGCAGCAGAGGGGAUAAGGACAGAGGAGAGAGGCUGCUUUGGCAGUGUUGAGUUGCUCAAAGACAGCAGCCUUGAAGCCUGACUGAUGAGGGACAAGGAGACUGUUACAGUGGAGACAGGAGGAAAGUUGGUUAAAGAUACUUCGCUCUAGAGUUUUGAAGAAGAGAGACAGGCCUGUAGUUGUUUACUGUUGAGGGUUUACUGUUGCCUCCUUCAGUUAGCAAUACAGUUGACAGGGAAGUGUUGAUAAGAUGGGAAGAAAAAAAAAGGAAGAAGUCAUGUGGUGUGCUAGUGAGCUUCCUGAAGGGGAUUAAAUAAUACCGCCGGACUUUUCUGAUAUAAUCAAAGGGCUGACUGACCCCAGAAAGCUUUGAAACAAAUACAACUUCACCACAAUAAUGUACUAUUCAUUCUGCUCGGGAUUGGUCUAAUGCUAUUCACUCAGACAUCCAAAUCACACAUUCAUGACCAAUAUUCAUACAAAAGGAAUUUUGAAAGGCCCUUCUCUGGAGUAGUGGCAAUUGUGAGGAUUGAGAGAAAGCUCAAUGGGCCAGUAAAACGUCAACAUGAAUGCUGAGGUUGUAAUUGUAACAAUUUUGCUUUACAUGCAUAUUCUCUGCCAUACAACACGCAGCACAGCUGGUUACGUUCAUUGGUAGAUAUUACCAAUCAAUUAACAAAAUCAUUCAUGUGGACUCUUGUUUCACCUGUUUUGGUCUCCACCAACUGCAGACUGAAAUAUCAGUAGCAGCUUUAUUCUCCACUAUAUUGAUCAGCUAUAUUUGACUGUCAGACAUGUGGAGUUGGGGUAGUGGGCUUCCCAGUGGGCCCCCCCACACCCCGUAAUGAGCAGUCAAACGAAAACAACAAACUGAAGGACGUAAAAAAUACAGUGUGAAGAGCUUACGCGACAGCGGAAUUGGUGAUAAUUGAGCAAUAAUUUCAAAGCUUUCAAUUUCCUGCUAAGAGAGGGACAAUAAAACUUUACUGUGAUGCCGGAGAUUAUCUCAUCCCUUUUGCAAAUUCUAUGACAUAUAUAUUGUGAUGAAAUCCUUUUUAAUAAUAAUAAAUAAUACAUUUUAAGACUUUUUUUUAUUGCACCGCCCAAGAUGGGGAGCCACAUUUUGCUCCUGUGCUGAAAGUAAGAGCCCUUCUUUAACUGUAAAAAUGACUAUUGACCAUAAAUAGAAGGCCAGACAUACAAAGACUGGUAUUCGACCCCGAUAUACCUACCUUUUACCACUUGCCAAUUCACUUAGUAGCUCAAAUCCCCAUCACUCAUCCUAUCCCUGUCUUUUUUUAUCUGUCGCUCCACAAAUAGCUCUACUCUACUAUAAAUAGCGGCAGCAUUCCCCAAAAUCAUCUUCUCCUGCGGUGAGAAAAGCUUUAAACCUGCGUGUCUAACCAUGCCUUUGCCUGUCAGGCUAAAGGCCAAUGUUUCACCUCUAAGCAAAUCAUGGUGACAAUGUUCAGAAAAAGUGCACACAGACACUCAGAGCAGCUCUGUCAUCUCUGACAUUUCCCACUUUCUGGUUAUCUGCAGCCUUCUGUUGACGAUCCCUGAGCCUCACGUGCAGAGAACGAAACACUCGAAGGAGGAUCUAAAAAUAGAACCAGCACACCGCUCCAAUAUGCGGGAGCACGUUCUUAAUAUCUCCUCAUUGAAUAUGCAUGAGAUUAAAUACUCUAGACGUCGCUGUUUUAUUGAGUGACGAGCAUUGUUUUUAAAAUCAUCAGCGCUCCGCACGCAGCCUUCCAAAUCCGUUGUGCGGAAUAGAAUUAGAUUAGAUUAGAUUAGUACACCUCUGGAUGCUACAAUACCCGGUGAGAUGAUGUAAUUGACAGGAUGGAUGUACCAUGUGAUCUUCUAGAUGUAGGAAAGGAAGUCCACAGUCUGUGUCUAUAGUUGUCAGACUUGCUCGGUUACAUUUUUGAAUCGUGGUUUCAGUGAUGGAUUGUUAAAGGUUGAACACUCAUCCUGCAGGGAAAACACACUCAGUAUGCAAACAGAUGAUUACUUGAGUGAAAAAAGGUUACGUCUGUGCCAAAUACGCAUGCAAAGAGCAGCCAAUGUGUUCAUCAGAUCCUUCAAAUGAGGAUUUGAGGUGUGAAUUCCACACACAUUAACCUCCUGAUCUCUCCUCUCCAGAUAUUACCUGAAGGAGCCAGACUAGUGGGUGGCAGGAUGGACCGGUGAAGUAUGCGUGAUGGGCUUAAGUUAAGGUUGGACUUCAUCAGUUGGUCCCGCUGGGGGCGUCAGUAUAUGCCUCUUUGACAGAUUUUCCAAAUCCUUACUUGUUUAUUUUUCCAUUUUUGGUUGAUGUUUACUACUCUGCUUGCUAAUCCUUAAAGCGGAUUAGAUCAGAGUAUUCAGGCUCGGGGUGUUUCAGGAAGGUAAAGUCAGUUUAUCUCACUCUUUGCUACAUCUAGAUUGCUAUUUGUUGUCUUUUUUACUGGAGCACUCGUCAACAUUGGAAAAGGAAGCGUGGGGAUUAGAUAGAGUGCAGCGAACCUCCAGAUGAUCACCACCCACGGCAUCCUUCAAACAUACAGCCAGAACAGCCAGACCACCCGGAACGGGGCCAACUCUUGGCUUAACUCCGUUGAAGGGAAAUAAGGCGGAUGAAGUGAGACUUCAGGCAAAUCCAGCAAAGGGAGAUCGGGGAGCGUUUUGACGGGCAGGUCGCAGCGCAGUUGAGAGAGGAACUCUUUUUUUACGUCAGUGAUGCACGGUGCUCAAACAAAAUCAACGUUGACGGACAAAGGUUCUCUGGCGUCAAAUAUGUAAUGUCAAUUCAUGCGUUUUUGUUUAAACGUACAAUAGCAUGUGAGGAUUAUUGUUAUAGGCCGUCAGUUUCAUAUCUAAUGGACGGAUAUGGCACAAUAUUUUCUCCUCGCAUUGCUGAUAAAAAUGAAUAGCGGGUAUUUCUAAUAACUUGUCCUGUCACCAUUGAAUUGAUUGCAUUUUGUGGUAAGGAAAGAGAACAUAAUAGAACAAUGCAACACUUUCGGUAAACUAAAGCAAACAGGACAUGCCAUUACUCACCUAAUAUGGAAAGAAAAGUUGUACAGGAGUUUUUCCUCAUAAAUCCCGCAGCGGUCUUUUGUGUGUGUGAUAGAUUUCAACACCAGAGCGUAGCUUAGAUAUACAACAUGUGUAUACUCCUCAGUUAUAUCAGAAAACUCUAUUAAAGUGCAAAGUUUAAUCUUAAAUAUAUAUCUAUUGUGGAGACUGUGUAGGCGUGAAGACACAGCUCGUCUCAGCCCUUUUCCUCCAGUCAACCAGGUUGUCUAAUUCUCACUGCGCGGACGUUAAAACAUGUCUAAAACCAUCUCUCUCUCUCUCUCUCUCUCUCUCUCUCUCUCUGUGGACCGAGGUUCAUGUUCUCACAGGGCUGUCUCAUCUAGCAGCCCUUCAAAUGAUCAUCUCUGCCCACGGGGCAGUGCUAGGAAAACACUGGACAGUCUGCGAGUUGGGAGCCAAGAGCUGGCCGACAAAGCCCAGAGGGCCCGAGCAGCCUUUGGUCCCAGGCUUUAGAGGGAGAGAGAGAGAGAGAGAGUAAGCGGACCCUUCCAUCACCCGUGAUGAGGAUCUGGAGGGAGGCGGUAACAGUGAAAGGAGCCGGAACCAACCCUCACAUUCGGUCCCAGGAGUGUCAGUGUAUGUACGAAGAGCAACGUUUCUACAAAAACCAAUCACAACCAUUGAGUGUGCAAGAGUAAUUAUGCAUAUGAACAAGAACAUCAUCAGUUAUGCACAUUCAUUAUUCACAUUGUGUGUCAGAGCAAAAUAAUUUCUCUUUGGGGAUUUCCAAUGUUUCCUUAAUUUCCAUUUAAUAAUAAAAUAAUAAAAAUCAACAGUUUAUGGGCCAUAAUCCUCAGUAUGGUAAAUUACAUUCAUUCAUUAGUAAUUCUGGAAUGGGAAGCCAGUGUUGUCCUAACAGUCAGGCAAAACUUCUAACAUCAAACCAUGGGUUGAAAUAUUAAAAUCUUAAGCUUCCAGCCAGGAGUCAGUUUUAUUUUUCUUCAACUUUCAACAUUUGUCACUGUUUUCUUCAGUAAACAGCCUGCUGGGUUCACACGGCCUCCUCGAUGUUCCACGGGCUGCCCAUUGCCCUUUCGUUGGCGACCCUUUGACACUUUCCUGGUCAAAAGGUCCGACCAACAAUACCCGAGUCUGUGUCAUCACGGCACCAGAGAUGUAUACUUACUGCGGGGUCAGCGAUUCCCCACCAGAGGUACCGUUCCGUCUGUGAUGACAGGCUACUUGGCCCCUCUGAUGGGCCUGUGGGGGUUUGUUGGAGGAAAAAAAACAAUCUGGAACCGCCGCUGUGUGUGUGUGUGUGUGUGUGUGUGUGUGUGGUGCUGUCCGUAGUGCUGAAACGGAGCCGAGGCGAUCAAAACACAUAGACGGAACACAUCUCUCGGUUUGGAGUUUUUCUGCUGGCUCUACUCGGUUAUAAAAAGAGAGCUAUAGACGGAGCUUCAAGCUCUUAAACAGCAGUUUUCUUCCCCGUCUCCCGCUGCUGAGUUAAACAGAAUUGUUGAUAAGUUGUUUAUCGCUCUGCUAGGGCUUUUAUGCGAGUGCGCUGGACCUAUUUUGUAUUUUGAAAGAGUAACCGUGUAUCCUUAUUGUUAUUUAGCCUUUCCAAAAGGUACUUUGCACGGUUUAAAUAAGUACAUUUUUUUUGAAUGUUGCCACUACUAAACAUCCGUACAUCAGUAACUGUCUGAGACCCCCACCCUCUUCAAAGCCUUUACAUACAUGACCCUCAUGUUUACAUACAGACAUUGGGUCAUGCAGACUCCCUAAGCACUUUUUAUGACUUCUAAAUCCAAACCGAGGAGCCUUCCACCUCAAUCUUCCCUUUUCUAUCUUUUGAUCCGUUCUAUGUAUGUUCCUUCCGGAGGCUCGUUACCCGGAGCUCGUGGGAUCCGGAUGUGUCCCUGUUUGUAGAGUAUUUGUAGUAUUUGCAGAGAGGUGACAUAAAUAUCCUCUCAUCCAACUGAGGAUACGCCAACGAUGCAGCGAGCAGGCCAACUGCACAAACGCGCACACACACACUCUCAUCACUCUUUUCCGACCUCCCAUCAGAGUUGAUCUUUCUUCUUUCAAUACAAGGUGAUCCCAUCUCUCCCUUUGUCGGCGUCCCUAAAUAACCACGCUGUUGGCUUUGAUUACUUAAACAAGGUUGUACGAGUAGUAAAUCUGAAAUCCAAAUGGAAAAAAGGGAAGGUCCUGGCCGGACCAACAAAGUCUCCUUCCGGGUUUUGGAGAGUCUCAGUGCAGACCACAUUUUACUGGGCAUGUUUUGUACACCGAUGAUAUGAAGAUGGCUCAGUGACUUCUCCUCUUGUUAGCCCGAAUGCCAAAUCCUCAGCAGUUUUGGCAAAGGUGGUGCCAUGUUUUGAAGAGAAAGUAGAAAUUUGAGCCUUCAAAUGACUGAUCCACAGAGAGAGAUUCAUUCAUUACACGCUUCGUAAAUAUCUGGGUUUUCUCUCUUUACGUUUUAGAGAAACCGAAAUGAAACCAGGGCUGUCCGUAAACCUUUCUAUAUAAUGUUCCUUAAGGCAUUAAAUCACAAGAUCCAUUUUUUACCAUUGCAACCUCACACAUAGUGUGUAAGCAACAAUAAAUAAUGCAAAAAAAUACAAACAUGACAAACAUCAAUCAAUAAACCUAAAUUAGCAGAGGACGGUAUGCAACUCUGCGUGAAUUGGAUUUAAAAUACGUUAUGAAUAAUAAAUCAUUCUAACGUGUGCUGCACACAGCCUUCGUUUUCUUUUACACACACAAGAAAAAAAAAAAAUGAAGGGUGCACCCAUGGUGGAGACGGACACAGGGAACUGCACAGGGUAUUCAAAAGUAAUAAACAACACAACAUAGUGAGGGAAAACAAGAGUUGUUUUUCUCAGCCUGUGGCUGCGUAGAGACGGAGGAGAAGGAAUGCGACCGCAGUGGAGGGUUAUUGUGCUCUUUCCAUUUCUGCAGAGAUGUUAUUGACAGUUUGAAGUAUGCCACAUAAAGCGUACCCGGCGCAAGGACAUUGCGAUGCAACGAAGGAAGUAAAACAAAAAAUUCUAUAAACUCUUAAAAAGGAUGAGUGUGUGUUGAAGUUGCAUUCCUGUUCAAGAAAGAAGUGUAGACAUUCAACAGAAACAGAGCACUAGUCCACGCAACGAAAAAUGCAUAUUUAAUAGAGUGGAGACGUGAUGUCUCCCUUAAUAACACAAACGAUAUGAUCUAUAAUAUCAAAUUAAAUCGCCCUGUGUCUCACACUCACGCACUUUUACAAACCACUUGACCGCCUUGUCGGAACGUCUGCUUUCAUCUGCCAAGUAGCUUGACUGAACGUCUACUUUAUCCCUUGGCAGCAGUGGAUAUCUGCUCACAUAAAUUAUGGAGGGAGCAAUGACAACUUCCAUCAUGCGAGGAAGACUCAAAUACUAAACCAGAGUGCCUCUUCCACGUAUUACGCCUACGCUCUUUAGGAACGGGAAGGCAACCCACUCAGGACCACUGGGGAAAUUCGCUCUGGUUCACGUGUAAUAACACGUCCCAGUCCUGGUACUCGGACUGGGGUCGUUGAUGAAAGACACAUUAAGGAUUCUUAAGGUUUCUAUGGUGCAAUAGAACGGGGCCUAUACACAGUGCACUACACACCGUUUGGAAUGUGCUACUGUUCAGCCUUUAUUCUUUGCUUCAUAUUGACAAGUAUCCUUUCAGCUAAAGGGACCAAAAUCUAAGCCCCUAUUAUAUGCAGGGAUUCUGUUGCUGACUGGCCAUUAUGGGGAGGAUUUGGCGCAUUAUCAUUGAGAAGAUUUAGAAGACAAAUUUGUCAAGACUUUGACAAGUGGUUGAAGGUCAUCAUGACUUGCAAACGUUGAACCGCAAAAGCUGCUGUUCAAUUCAUAUUCACUGAUGAGAUAUUUAACGCAUAUUUUUUGACAUGUGCCAUAUGGACUACAGAUGAGAAAUAGCCUUUUGGCAAACGCUGCCUCAUACAUAUGAAUGUUUUUCGUGUGCACCAAAAGGGAUCAGUGUCAGGUGAGUUACCUGGACAGUGGAAACAGUGAUAUGAGCUCCAACAAGAGCCCAGAUAACAAGCAGGGGAUAGCAGCGGCUGGCAGUAGAUAGCAGCGGCUAGACGUAAAUAGCAGCGGCUAGCUGUGACUAGCAGUAGAUAGCUGUAGAUAGCAGUGGCUAGCAGUAUAAGUAGCGGUGGUCAACUUGACCAGCAGCAAUAAAGGAAGCAGGAAUAAGUUGAUGGACCUCUCAGAAUACACACAUCUGUCUCAGCCACUUGGGCCAAAGACGCGGUUUGCCAGUAAACACUUCUCCAUCUGUGAGGCACAACAGGUCGACGGCCAUUCCGAUAGCAUCUGUCCACCUGCUUCUCCGCCAGUGGCAUUUUCAGAAAUGCAAAAUAGAAGUUCACAGGAAAAGGGAAGCUGGAGCUGAGUGCGAAAGAAAAAAGAAAAGUGUUUUUUUUUUACCUUUCAAAUCCUUCAGAGUUAUGUUAAGUUUAAUUGAAUCAUUGAGUUUAAAAGGUCUACAUUUCCAACAUUUAAUAAUAACGUAUAAAACUAUUAAAAAGUAUUUGUAUUCAUCAAGUUUUCAUCUGAUACAAUUAUGACAACCGGUCCCAUUACUGCGUGGAACAACAUAGUGACGGCCAAUGAAGAAACUAACACGUUACGUAUCUCUAAUAAUACCCAGGAGCAGAAUUUAAUCUGUAAUAAUACAACUCCAUAUUCGUGCGGCAGCUUCUGUUAACUAAUCACCAUGCAUGAUAUUUUGUGACAGAGAAGGCAAAGAUGAUCAAACAUCUGCUCGUCUGCGUUUGCAGCUUCCAAACCGAAACCGAGAUGAGAAAUGUGGUUGAUGGGGUGCAUUAAAAAUGUGUGAGACCUCAACAUGAGAGAAAUGCUAUGUCAUGGAGGAUGUAUUGUCCUUCAGCUAGCCCAGUUAACGCUAUUAAUGGCUUUCCAGCACGUCCAAAAGCUGUCUUACCCUCUCAUUAUGCGUUCAUUUACAUUUAGUCCAUCAGCCCUCCAUUGACGGGACAGAUUGGAUUCUCUGAAUAUGCUUCUUUAUAAUGAAAAGAGCUAAAAAUGACUGGCCACUCAAUUUCAAUACGAUUCUUCGUUCAUUUGAGACUUUCAUUAAGACUUCCAUAAUUCUCUCUGCCAUGUCAAUGCAAUUGUACAGUAUACAUCUGUCUAAUAUGGAGUCUUUGGACAGGGGGGAAAAAGUUGAACUGUCAACAAACUGGUGUCAGUGUCGGUAACAUAGAAUGGAGUCACUGCAAAACAGACACAGGACGAUAUCUGAAUGGAAUGAAACAUGUCAUAUUAAUCGUUUACAUGCUUAUAAAUGCAGCUUUAUCGCUUUCCUUUGCAGAUUUAAAGCAUGUUCUCCUUUUUUGGCUAUAAAUGACAAGAUUGGCCCUGUGAUUACAGCGCGUUGAGUCGGGUGAAGUUUACCUUAACUCAUAAAGUCUGGAGGAAAAUAAAGAACUGGUGGGUGCUGAAAUCACUUAGAGGCUGAGCUGGCAUGUAAUCACACUCUAUUUAUUAAUAAAUACCUUUUGAGAUGCUUAUUGGCAUAUUGGUUGUUUCUUCUUCUUCUUCUUCUUCUUCUUCUUCUUCUUAUUAUCACGUAUAGUUUUACUUAACUGAGAUGUGUCUUUGUGUGCGUGCAUGUGCUUCAAUCUAAUUCCCGCUUAUUGACUCUCUAUGAUCUAUUAGCAUUUAUUGACUUUUUAGCUUCAGGGUGAUAAUGACCUUCACUGUUCAGUUGCCUUUCAAUCCUCUACUGGCAGUAGGUCUGUAUUAUUAAAAUAUUCUGAAAAAAAAUAAUAGGCUUAAAAAAUGAACAACCUCUUUCGGAGAAUGAGCACAAACGAGACGUGCGACGCAACACUGCUGUCUUUGUUGAAGCCUAAACUGAACGGUUGGUGGUGUGUCGGUUGCCUAAAACAGAGUCAGCUCUUAAUAAGCAAUCAAUGACCUUUAUUCUCUUUGUUGUACGCUAUUUUGCAAUAAGACUGUUUUCACUGUGAUCGUAUUCUUCCAUUUAGUUUUGUGGCCUUCAUUUGACAACUGGCCUCUCAGUUGAGGACCACUGACCUCUGUUGAUUGUAGGCAACUAUCCCCUUUGUUUACCUGCAGUGUGGUAAAGCUGUUCAACUGCAGCCAGUCAGUAACAGUGAACCGUGUCAGAAUGUUUAGAAAGCGACACUCCUUAUGGUCUUUUCUUACAUUUGCCAAAGACUGAUGAAAUGAUAACACGUGGUCAAAUAACAUAUUAUCAUAUGGAAAGGAGGGAAACUCCUGACUUCAAUGGAACCUGCCGCUCUUCACAUGAUUUAAUCUGGUAUCCAGGCAAACAGGAGACUUUCAAACAUGAAUUCACCUUAGCUCAUUCAUUUGACUGAUUUAAACUAAAAGAUGAUUUGUCUUUGCCUCAUCGGCUUUAAUUGUGUGAGUUUCAGAUUUAAUGUGAUAUGUAGAGAUUUUAUGUCAUUGUCUCUUAACCAUUUGAUUGUGUGAUGCUGAAACCAUUUGUCUCUAUUAGCUUUUCUCCUCCUCACACAGACACGCAGAUGCACAUGGAGCUACAUGUAACCGAGAUAACCUUGGGUACCAACACUUGUCUCAUGUUUCUAUAAAUAGCUGCAAACAUUGAAUGAAACAUGACUUAUGAUGUAAAUAAUGCAAUAAGCGGUUAAAGACCUAGACGCCUGUUUGUACAUUCACAACUCUGGAAAAUGAUUUAUUUGUAUUUGCCUCAGGGAUGUUUUUAAUGUGCUAACCGCUGGGGCUGUCAAAUCAAGUUCAAGCAAAGAGCAAAAGUGAAACGAAGAAAAUAAACGGCAUCAUUCCUUCUAAUCCAGGUAUGAAGAGAAGCGUGUCCUUUAGCGUUCGUGUCCAUCUCACCGCUCGUCCCGUACGCGACCUCGGCCUUUCAUCCGUCUGCUCGUGUGGGCCGACAGUCGCUGGAGAUGGUCGGGGUGCAGCGGCGUAGUGCAGCGCCGGCAGAACCCUGCAGAAUCCCGCCAUCGAAUCCAAACACAAACACACGAGAACCUGCACCUUGCUGAUCUUGAUUGCUUUCCAGACGAGGCGCAGUUCAGAACCACUUUGGGAUGUUUUUAGUAGCACCUAUGCUUUCUCUACUGACGUGCAAGUUCAGUUGAAAGGCUUUGGAGUGCAGUGUGUGUAUGUGCGUCCGUGCCUCUAACACACACCCACAGAAAAGGUCGGUGUCAUGGCAGGUGCCGAUGUCACCUGAAAAUCACAUUUUUAAAUAAAAAUCCAAUCAUCUCCCAAAGUAAAAGUAGUAUCACACUAAUUAGGACAACACACAUCUCACCUCAAUCUAUUAUGAUAUCGGCCUCACGUUCCCCUGUGCGUUCCUCGAGGCUCACCUCAUCACAGUCACAUGCACUCGUGACUGGAGCAGCCGAGUUGCUGUCCAAUGAAAACAGGUCCACGGGAUAUUUAGAAUCUAAAAGUAAUAAAAAGGACGAGGGCCUAGAAAGCGUGUCAGUGUUUUCUGAGAGCCAACGGAAACCCGGCGCCUCAAUGUGAGUCAUCUCCGGUUCUCUCCCGGCAGUGUCAAUCCAGCGCUCACACACACACACACACACACACACACACAGAUGAAUAAAAAAGGAAUUAUGCUAGCUUAAUGUCAUGUGCUCCUACUCUAAUAAAGCCCCAACUUGAAACCUAUCCUCCUCCUCAAAGUCAUUUUCCUACAAUAUUGAAUCAAAUGCCUCUGUGGCUCCGGAGUCAUAAUGAAAUCGUAGGGAAGUUCAAAUGUGUCAUCGGGAGGUGAAAUUAACUAAAAUUAGUCCUUAAAUGUUAAGUGUCAUGUUGCUACUCCUGAUAAGAGAUGGAUUUCAGUCUGAGAAACUCUUGUUCUGCUGAUUGAAGCCUUUUCCUGAAGCUCCUCAAAACCUGCAUUCUCUCUACUGACCAAAAGGGGGCGUUUCAAAGAAUUUCAAAGAAGUAGUUGUCUUAGUUUAGUAGUAGUUUAUGUUUUCAGUUGAGGAGGCGUUAUGGUGAUAAAAUGUUGGUGAUCUGGUUCAGUGAGACAGGCCUCAGGUACUUCCUCACAUGUUUGUUUCGGCCAUCUCUGCCUUUGAGCUAAUUGGAACAAAAAAUGUUUUCAGCACAGUUGCCAGGAAAGAAAUGCUGGCAUGUAUUCUUUGGCAAACCAGUGAUACGUUUAAUGUGAAUGUUUAAAGUUUUUUUUUUUUGUUUCAGGUCAGUGAACAGUGAGCGGCGACCAGUUGUGUAAACAGAGGACCAGUUAUUUGAAG